CCUACGGGAGGCAGCAGUGAGGAAUAUUGGUCAAUGGACGCAAGUCUGAACCAGCCAUGCCGCGUGCAGGAAGAAGGUGCUAUGCAUUGUAAACUGCUUUUAUACGGGGGUAAUUACAGAUACGUGUAUCUGGAUGAAAGUACCGUAUGAAUAAGGAUCGGCUAACUCCGUGCCAGCAGCCGCGGUAAUACGGAGGAUGUGAGCGUUAUCCGGAUUUAUUGGGUUUAAAGGGUGCGUAGGCGGUUUUUUAAGUUAGUGGUUAAACGUCGGGGCUUCACCUUGAUUUGCCAUUAAUACUGUAAGACUCGAGUUCAGACGAGGUAGGCGGAAUAAGUUAAGUAGCGGUGAAAUGCUUAGAUAUAACUUAGAACUCCGAUAGCGAAGGCAGCUUACCAGACUGCGACUGACGCUGAAGCACGAGAGCGUGGGUAGCGAACAGGAUUAGAUACCCCAGUAGUC
rnacentral:rRNA from 1 species